rnacentral:rRNA from 1 species
GGGAUAACGGUUAGAAAUGACUGCUAAUACCGCAUAAGCGCACAGGACCGCAUGGUGUAGUGUGAAAAACUCCGGUGGUAUGAGAUGGACCCGCGUCUGAUUAGGUAGUUGGUGGGGUAAAGGCCUACCAAGCCGACGAUCAGUAGCCGACCUGAGAGGGUGACCGGCCACAUUGGGACUGAGACACGGCCCAAACUCCUACGGGAGGCAGCAGUGGGGAAUAUUGCACAAUGGGGGAAACCCUGAUGCAGCGACGCCGCGUGAAGGAAGAAGUAUUUCGGUAUGUAAACUUCUAUCAGCAGGGAAGAAAAUGACGGUACCUGAGUAAGAAGCACCGGCUAAAUACGUGCCAGCAGCCGCGGUAAUACGUAUGGUGCAAGCGUUAUCCGGAUUUACUGGGUGUAAAGGGAGCGUAGACGGAUAGGCAAGUCUGGAGUGAAAACCCAGGGCUCAACCCUGGGACUGCUUUGGAAACUGCAGAUCUGGAGUGCCGGAGAGGUAAGCGGAAUUCCUAGUGUAGCGGUGAAAUGCGUAGAUAUUAGGAGGAACACCAGUGGCGAAGGCGGCUUACUGGACGGUGACUGACGUUGAGGCUCGAAAGCGUGGGGAGCAAACAGGAUUAGAUACCCUGGUAGUCCACGCCGUAAACGAUGACUACUAGGUGUCGGUGUGCAAAGCACAUCGGUGCCGCAG